rnacentral:rRNA from 1 species
GACGAACGCUGGCGGCGUGCUUAACACAUGCAAGUCGAACGGAAAGGCCCUGCUUGCAGGGUGCUCGAGUGGCGAACGGGUGAGUAACACGUGGGUGAUCUGCCCCUUACUUUGGGAUAAGCCUGGGAAACUGGGUCUAAUACUGGAUAGGACCAUGCUGUAUGUGGUGUGGUGGUAAGAUUAGUUUCGGUGAGGGAUGAGCUCGCGGCCUAUCAGCUUGUUGGUGGGGUAAUGGCCUACCAAGGCGUCGACGGGUAGCCGGCCUGUGAGGGGGGACGGGCACAUUGGGGCUGAGAUAUGGCGCAGACACCUACGGGGGGCAGCAGUGGGGAAUAUUGCACAAUGGGGGCAGGCCUGAGGCAGCGACGCCGCGUGGGGGAUGACGGGCUUCGGGGUGUAAACUCCUUUCAGCCAUGACGAAGACCGUGUGGUGACGGUAGUGGUAGAAGAAGCACCGGCUAACUACGU